rnacentral:rRNA from 1 species
CAUGCAGUCGAGGGGUAUAUUUCUUCGGAGAUAGAGACCGGCGCACGGGUGCGUAACGCGUAUGCAACCUACCUUUCACAGAGGGAUAGCCCAGAGAAAUUUGGAUUAAUACCUCAUAGCAUAGUACAACCGCAUGGUUGAACUAUUAAAGUCACAACGGUGAAAGAUGAGCAUGCGUCCCAUUAGCUAGUUGGUAAGGUAACGGCUUACCAAGGCAACGAUGGGUAGGGGUCCUGAGAGGGAGAUCCCCCACACUGGUACUGAGACACGGACCAGACUCCUACGGGAGGCAGCAGUGAGGAAUAUUGGUCAAUGGGCGCAAGCCUGAACCAGCCAUGCCGCGUGCAGGAUGACGGUCCUAUGGAUUGUAAACUGCUUUUGUACGGGAAGAAACAGCGAUUCGUGAAUCGCCUUGACGGUACCGUAAGAAUAAGGAUCGGCUAACUCCGUGCCAGCAGCCGCGGUAAUACGGAGGAUCCAAGCGUUAUCCGGAAUCAUUGGGUUUAAAGGGUUCGUAGGCGGUUUUGUAAGUCAGUGGUGAAAGCCCAUCGCUCAACGGUGGAACGGCCAUUGAUACUGCAAGACUUGAAUUAUUAGGAAGCAACUAGAAUAUGUAGUGUAGCGGUGAAAUGCUUAGAGAUUACAUGGAAUACCAAUUGCGAAGGCAGGUUUCUACUAAUGGAUUGACGCUGAUGGACGAAAGCGUGGGUAGCGAACAGGAUUAGAUACUUUGGUAGUCCACGCCGUAAACGAUGGAUACUAGCUGUUGGGAGCAAUCUCAGUGGCUAAGCGAAAGUGAUAAGUAUCCCACCUGGGGAGUACGUUCGCAAGAAUGAAACUCAAAGGAAUUGACGGGGGGCC